UGGGGAAUUUUGGACAAUGGGCGAAAGCCUGAUCCCAGCAAUGCCGCGUGUGUGAAGAAGGCCUUCGGGUUGUAAAGCACUUUUGUCCGGAAAGAAAUCCUUGGCUCUAAUACAGUCGGGGGAUGACGGUACCGGAAGAAUAAGCACCGGCUAACUACGUGCCAGCAGCCGCGGUAAUACGUAGGGUGCAAGCGUUAAUCGGAAUUACUGGGCGUAAAGCGUGCGCAGGCGGUUUGCUAAGACCGAUGUGAAAUCCCCGGGCUCAACCUGGGAACUGCAUUGGUGACUGGCAGGCUAGAGUAUGGCAGAGGGGGGUAGAAUUCCACGUNUAGCAGUGAAAUGCGUAGAGAUGUGGAGGAAUACCGAUGGCGAAGGCAGCCCCCUGGGCCAAUACUGACGCUCAUGCACGAAAGCGUGGGGAGCAAACAGGAUUAGAUACCCUGGUAGUCCACGCCCUAAA
rnacentral:rRNA from 1 species